rnacentral:lncRNA from 1 species
AAUAUAAAUUGUAAGAAUGUAAAGUUCACAAAAGUAAAUUGCAUAAAGUAAAUGUUAGGAGUUAGAGUAAACAAGUUAGUGAUCAUGACGCAAGCAAUGUAUGUGACAAUCAUGUUAGAGUGUUGAUACAAAAUCAACCUCUCAAGGCAUGAAACACAAUUGUUCAAAAGUCAAAGAAGAAAGAAGAGAACAAAGGGAAAAAUGAAAGGAAGCUCAAGUGUUUGACUUAGGAUCCACUAUCAAACAAGUCAAGGGACACAAACAUAUGGC